GGGGUUGUAGUUAAGAUUGGUUAUAACGCCGGCCUGUCAAGCCGGAGGCCGCGGGUUCAAGUCCCGUCAACCCCGCCA
rnacentral:tRNA from 1 species